UAAAGGACGCGUAGGCGGGUUGGCAAGUCAGAUGUGAAUCCUACAGCUUAACUGUAGAACUGCAUUUGAAACUGCCGACCUAGAGUAUGGGAGGGGGAGAUGGAAUUAGUGGUGUAGGGGUAAAAUCCGUAGAUAUCACUAGGAAUACCGAAAGCGAAGGCGAUCUCCUGGAACAUAACUGACGCUAAGGCGUGAAAGCGUGGGGAGCAAACAGGAUUAGAUACCCUGGUAGUCCACGCCCUAAACGAUGUUCACUAGUCGUCGCUCUGCUAGUCAGGGCGGUGAUGCACUUAACAGAUUAAGUGAACCGCCUGGGGAGUACGGUCGCAAGAUUAAAACUCAAAGGAAUAGACGGGGACCCGCACAAGUGGUGGAGCAUGUGGUUUAAUUCGAAGAUACGCGAAGAACCUUACCUAGCCUUGACAUUGAGAGAACCUGCCAGAGAUGGCGGGGUGCCCUUCGGGGAGCUCGAAAACAGGUGCUGCACGGCUGUCGUCAGCUCGUGUCGUGAGAUGUUGGGUUAAGUCCCGCAACGAGCGCAACCCUCGUCCUUAGUUGCUAGCAGGUUAAGCUGAGCACUCUAAGGAGACUGCCUUCGUAAGGAGGAGGAAGGUGAGGACGACGUCAAGUCAUCAUGGCCCUUAUGGCUAGGGCUACACACGUGCUACAAUGGGGCGUACAGAGUGUUGCGAUACCGCGAGGUGGAGCUAAUCACUUAAAGCGUCUCUCAGUUCGGAUUGGAGUCUGCAACUCGACUCCAUGAAGCUGGAAUCACUAGUAAUCGUAGAUCAGCAAUGCUACGGUGAAUACGUUCCCGGGUCUUGUACUCACCGCCCGUCACACCAUGGGAGUUGAUUUCACCCGAAAUCGGGAAGCCAACCUUCGGGGGGCUACCGCUUACGGUGGAAUUAGCGACUGGGGUGAAGUCGUAACAAGGUAAC
rnacentral:rRNA from 1 species